UGCUCUUGCCGGGGAGGCUCCGGCGGCGCGUGGGCGGCCGCGGGCAACGGCCUCGGCGGGCGCUGAGGGGGCGGCGGCCAUUUGCCGUUAGCCUAAGGCGGGGAGCGUGGGGCUGGAGAGACCUCUGAGAAAUAAAUGUGAAAUCGAUGCUGCGCUCAGCUGCUUGUAGUUAUCAGAGCAUGGGGAAUGACAGAGUCGUAGGGCUCCUGGAGGCUGGCUAGUCCUCGGCUAGAGCACGUUGCUCAGGACAUACGCUGUGGUUUCAGUACCUCUGCAGGUGAAGGGUCCAUAGGUUCUCUGUGGAACCCGUUCUGGUGUUUGACCACCCUCACUGCAAGAAUUUUUCUUCUGCUUAAUGGAAGCCCUCCCAUUCAGUUUGUGCCCUUUCCCUCAUAUCACAGAAUCAUCUAGGUUGGAAGAGACCUCCAAGAUCACCUAGUCCAACCUCUGACCUAACACUAACAAGUCCUCCACUAAACCAUAUCAAUAAGCUCUACAUCUAGACGUCUUUUGAAGACCUUAAGGGACGGUGGCUCAGCCACUU